AUUGAACGCUGGCGGCAGGCUUAACACAUGCAAGUCGAGCGGGGGAAGGUAGCUUGCUACCGAACCUAGCGGCGGACGGGUGAGUAAUGCUUAGGAAUCUGCCUAUUAGUGGGGGACAACAUCUCGAAAGGGAUGCUAAUACCGCAUACGUCCUACGGGGGAAAGCAGGGGAUCUUCGGACCUUGCGCUAAUAGAUGAGCCUAAGUCGGAUUAGCUAGUUGGUGGGGUAAAGGCCUACCAAGGCGACGAUCUGUAGCGGGUCUGAGAGGAUGAUCCGCCACACUGGGACUGAGACACGGCCCAGACUCCUACGGGAGGCAGCAGUGGGGAAUAUUGGACAAUGGGGGGAACCCUGAUCCAGCCAUGCCGCGUGUGUGAAGAAGGCCUUAUGGUUGUAAAGCACUUUAAGCGAGGAGGAGGCUACUCUAGUUAAUACCUAGGGAUAGUGGACGUUACUCGCAGAAUAAGCACCGGCUAACUCUGUGCCAGCCGCCGCCGUAA
rnacentral:rRNA from 1 species